GGGUUGUGAGGUUAAGCGACUAAGCGUACACGGUGGAUGCCCUGGCAGUCAGAGGCGAUGAAGGGCGUGCUAAUCUGCGAUAAGCGCCGGUAAGGUGAUAUGAACCGUUAUAACCGGCGAUACCCGAAUGGGGAAACCCAGUGUGAUUCGUCACACUAUCAUUAACUGAAUCCAUAGGUUAAUGAGGCGAACCGGGGGAACUGAAACAUCUAAGUACCCCGAGGAAAAGAAAUCAACCGAGAUUCCCCCAGUAGCGGCGAGCGAACGGGGAGGAGCCCAGAGCCUGAAUCAGCAUGUGUGUUAGUGGAAGCGUCUGGAAAGGCGCGCGAUACAGGGUGACAGCCCCGUACACAAAAGCGCAUGUGCUGUGAGCUCGAUGAGUAGGGCGGGACACGUGGUAUCCUGUCUGAAUAUGGGGGGACCAUCCUCCAAGGCUAAAUACUCCUGACUGACCGAUAGUGAACCAGUACCGUGAGGGAAAGGCGAAAAGAACCCCGGCGAGGGGAGUGAAAAAGAACCUGAAACCGUGUACGUACAAGCAGUGGGAGCACACUGUGUGACUGCGUACCUUUUGUAUAAUGGGUCAGCGACUUAUAUUCUGUAGCAAGGUUAACCGAAUAGGGGAGCCGGAGGGAAACCGAGUCUUAAUUGGGCGUUAAGUUGCAGGGUAUAGACCCGAAACCCGGUGAUCUAGCCAUGGGCAGGUUGAAGGUUGGGUAACACUAACUGGAGGACCGAACCGACUAAUGUUGAAAAAUUAGCGGAUGACCUGUGGCUGGGGGUGAAAGGCCAAUCAAACCGGGAGAUAGCUGGUUCUCCCCGAAAGCUAUUUAGGUAGCGCCUCGUGAAUUCAUCUCCGGGGGUAGAGCACUGUUUCGGCUAGGGGGCCAUCCCGGCUUACCAACCCGAUGCAAACUGCGAAUACCGGAGAAUGUUAUCACGGGAGACACACGGCGGGUGCUAACGUCCGUCGUGAAGAGGGAAACAACCCAGACCGCCAGCUAAGGUCCCAAAGUCAUGGUUAAGUGGGAAACGAUGUGGGAAGGCCCAGACAGCCAGGAUGUUGGCUUAGAAGCAGCCAUCAUUUAAAGAAAGCGUAAUAGCUCACUGGUCGAGUCGGCCUGCGCGGAAGAUGUAACGGGGCUAAACCAUGCACCGAAGCUGCGGCAGCGACACUGUGUGUUGUUGGGUAGGGGAGCGUUCUGUAAGCCUGUGAAGGUGUGUCGUGAGGCAUGCUGGAGGUAUCAGAAGUGCGAAUGCUGACAUAAGUAACGAUAAAGCGGGUGAAAAGCCCGCUCGCCGGAAGACCAAGGGUUCCUGUCCAACGUUAAUCGGGGCAGGGUGAGUCGACCCCUAAGGCGAGGCCGAAAGGCGUAGUCGAUGGGAAACGGGUUAAUAUUCCCGUACUUGGUGUUACUGCGAAGGGGGGACGGAGAAGGCUAUGUUGGCCGGGCGACGGUUGUCCCGGUUUAAGCGUGUAGGUGUGUGUUCCAGGUAAAUCCGGUUCACUUUAACACUGAGGCGUGACGACGAGGCACUACGGUGCUGAAGCAACAAAUGCCCUGCUUCCAGGAAAAGCCUCUAAGCAUCAGGUAACAUCAAAUCGUACCCCAAACCGACACAGGUGGUCAGGUAGAGAAUACCAAGGCGCUUGAGAGAACUCGGGUGAAGGAACUAGGCAAAAUGGUGCCGUAACUUCGGGAGAAGGCACGCUGACACGUAGGUGAAGUGAUUUACUCAUGGAGCUGAAGUCAGUCGAAGAUACCAGCUGGCUGCAACUGUUUAUUAAAAACACAGCACUGUGCAAACACGAAAGUGGACGUAUACGGUGUGACGCCUGCCCGGUGCCGGAAGGUUAAUUGAUGGGGUCAGCGCAAGCGAAGCUCCUGAUCGAAGCCCCGGUAAACGGCGGCCGUAACUAUAACGGUCCUAAGGUAGCGAAAUUCCUUGUCGGGUAAGUUCCGACCUGCACGAAUGGCGUAAUGAUGGCCAGGCUGUCUCCACCCGAGACUCAGUGAAAUUGAACUCGCUGUGAAGAUGCAGUGUACCCGCGGCAAGACGGAAAGACCCCGUGAACCUUUACUAUAGCUUGACACUGAACAUUGAGCCUUGAUGUGUAGGAUAGGUGGGAGGCUUUGAAGUGUGGACGCCAGUCUGCAUGGAGCCGACCUUGAAAUACCACCCUUUAAUGUUUGAUGUUCUAACGUGGACCCGUUACCCGGGUUGCGGACAGUGUCUGGUGGGUAGUUUGACUGGGGCGGUCUCCUCCUAAAGAGUAACGGAGGAGCACGAAGGUUGGCUAAUCCUGGUCGGACAUCAGGAGGUUAGUGCAAUGGCAUAAGCCAGCUUGACUGCGAGCGUGACGGCGCGAGCAGGUGCGAAAGCAGGUCAUAGUGAUCCGGUGGUUCUGAAUGGAAGGGCCAUCGCUCAACGGAUAAAAGGUACUCCGGGGAUAACAGGCUGAUACCGCCCAAGAGUUCAUAUCGACGGCGGUGUUUGGCACCUCGAUGUCGGCUCAUCACAUCCUGGGGCUGAAGUAGGUCCCAAGGGUAUGGCUGUUCGCCAUUUAAAGUGGUACGCGAGCUGGGUUUAGAACGUCGUGAGACAGUUCGGUCCCUAUCUGCCGUGGGCGCUGGAGAACUGAGGGGGGCUGCUCCUAGUACGAGAGGACCGGAGUGGACGCAUCACUGGUGUUCGGGUUGUCAUGCCAAUGGCACUGCCCGGUAGCUAAAUGCGGAAGAGAUAAGUGCUGAAAGCAUCUAAGCACGAAACUUGCCCCGAGAUGAGUUCUCCCUGAGACUUAGAGUCUCCUGAAGGAACGUUGAAGACGACGACGUUGAUAGGCCGGGUGUGUAAGCGCAGCGAUGCGUUGAGCUAACCGGUACUAAUGAACCGUGAGGCUUAACCUUACAACGCCGAAG
rnacentral:rRNA from 1 species